GUCAAGGUGAGUAAGAUUAUGUUAAUUGACAAUAUUAGUAGCUCACAAAUGUCAUUAUUGUCAUAUUUCUAGAGUUGUAGAAUUAUUGGACAUCAUUUGGUAGCUCGUUGACGCGCUCAGAGUUGCUUCCGGUUCUUUUGAAUCAAGUUAUACAGGAGUCAUUCCAGGUUCCAUUCCACCUGCCCCUCAGUAGAUCUUAGUCAUUUUGGUGAGCCCUUCUUCUUUCCAAGGGCUAAGUAAUUAUGUAAUGGAACCUUUGCUCAAAAUCUAGAUUAUGUCAAUGCUCCAUAUGUCACAGGCAGGAUCC